GGCUUUGUCAACCAGAAGCCCACCAGGCCCAGAGAACAACAACACUGACCAUCAGUGCCCACAAAGGAACAGCAAGAAGCCGGCGGGACAGUCCACAAUAUCAUAUGAUUACUCAGAGGAGGAGCUUAUGGCAAGCAUCGAGCAGGAGUACUGCCGCUGAACCCAACCCCACGCCACGAGAACUUCAAGCACAUUCCUGGAAGCCCAGCUGGAGCAAAACUGCUGCUGACAAAAUAACACCUCGCACAGCAAGAUGGCACAGGAGAGGUGAGUGGCGAAGGGAGGUGAAGCACGAGAGACAGUGCAGCUGCUCGGGAAGCAUGAAGGAGAAAGCCCUCCUGACCAACUCUGAGUGAGAUCGUGAAGAUCCUCACCAACUGAUUUCUGAUUGGUGCCGCUGGAAUAGGGACCAAUUCAUCUUGCAAAUCAAUAUUUAGAAGCUCAUUUCUAUAUAGUAUUUACAAAUGAAGACGUACUAGAAUUGAAGUGUCAUACAAGAAGUGUUGAGACACGGUGCUUUGAAGGAAGAUCUUGUUUUGUCUUAGCAGAAGAAAAAUGCAGCAAUAUCAUUUGAUUCAGAUCUCACUUAAGGGAGCGUUGCAUGAAAUUCAUAUUCCGGACACUUAAAACCAGCCAAAUUCACUCCUUGCGCUGUGCAAGCCUCCAGGUCUGAAUUUGGCACUGUCUCUUCGAAUGACGUCCCCGGCGUGGGAUAUAAGAUGAAAAGGGGAGUGAGCCCACCAUCCAGUACAUAGGCAGUGUCAUCCCAGAGUUCAAAUCCCACCACUUAGGCAAACAAGGCUCCUGGAAGCCAACAGGGAGCAUAGGAUUUGUACAAUCCCUUUGGGGCGGGAUGCCAGCAUCGGUGUGGUACCUGGGCCUGGUGUGGCGUGGAUCCCCCAGUGAAAGCAGGAGGCACGCCCCCAGUGCUGCCUUGCUGCAGCCAGCGAUCAUCCAUCUUAGGAGGGACUUGCACACUAUUGCAGAGCAGCUGUUUGUGAUCAGUUUUCAGAGUUAUCAGCCCUGGCCUUCCCGUUUAUUUCUAGUAGGUAACCUAGAAGAAAAAUCACUACAUUUUACCAUUAGCUGACUGCAAAGUAAAACAGAAAGUCAGCUCUCCAAAGAAAACUGUAUAUUUUCAGUGCUUCCUGACUGGGAAGCCUGGUAUUUUAGGGUUUCUGCCUUUAUUUUACCUGCACCUUAAUGUAUUAUGAGUAGUUGCUUAUUAUCAGAAGUAGAAAAAUACCUUAUUUCUGUCUUCAGCUGAAGCAUAAAAGAAAUCUUCACAUAGACUGUGUAAAUGCAAGAGGAAACAGCAGGACACAUCUUAAGAUGCUGCAUUUUAACUUCUUUGUAAUUCCUGGUAUCUGUGAAACAGAAAUAAACGCAUCUGUACU